CAUGCCAAGGAGUGUAGAGCAGACGCCACAGGUUGUUAGUUCCGGGAUAAUAGUAAACUGAUCUAAGCAGCAUGCCAAGGAGUAUAGAGCAGACGCCACAGGUUGUUAGUUCCGGGAUAAUAGUAAACUGAUCUAAGCAGCAUGCCAAGGAGUAUAGAGCAGACGCCACAGGUUGUUAGUUCCGGGAUAAUAGUAAACUGAUCUAAGCAGCAUGCCAAGGAGUAUAGAGCAGACGCCACAGGUUGUUAGUUCCGGGAUAAUAGUAAACUGAUCUAAGCAGCAUGCCAAGGAGUGUAGAGCAGACGCCACAGGUUGUUAGUUCCGGGAUAAUAGUAAACUGAUCUAAGCAGCAUGCCAAGGAGUAUAGAGCAGACGCCACAGGUUGUUAGUUCCGGGAUAAUAGUAAACUGAUCUAAGCAGCAUGCCAAGGAGUAUAGAGCAGACGCCACAGGUUGUUAGUUCCGGGAUAAUAGUAAACUGAUCUAAGCAGCAUGCCAAGGAGUAUAGAGCAGACGCCACAGGUUGUUAGUUCCGGGAUAAUAGUAAACUGAUCUAAGCAGCAUGCCAAGGAGUGUAGAGCAGACGCCACAGGUUGUUAGUUCCGGGAUAAUAGUAAACUGAUCUAAGCAGCAUGCCAAGGAGUAUAGAGCAGACGCCACAGGUUGUUAGUUCCGGGAUAAUAGUAAACUGAUCUAAGCAGCAUGCCAAGGAGUAUAGAGCAGACGCCACAGGUUGUUAGUUCCGGGAUAAUAGUAAACUGAUCUAAGCAGCAUGCCAAGGAGUAUAGAGCAGACGCCACAGGUUGUUAGUUCCGGGAUAAUAGUAAACUGAUCUAAGCAGCAUGCCAAGGAGUGUAGAGCAGACGCCACAGGUUGUUAGUUCCGGGAUAAUAGUAAACUGAUCUAAGCAGCAUGCCAAGGAGUAUAGAGCAGACACCACAGGUUGUUAGUUCCGGGAUAAUAGUAAACUGAUCUAAGCAGCAUGCCAAGGAGUAUAGAGCAGACGCCACAGGUUGUUAGUUCCGGGAUAAUA